UUCUGCUGUUCUGAAUGGUGCAGCUUAAAUCGCAGUCAGUGUUGUCAGCUAGACAAAGUACUGGGUUCUCGCAGAAUCAAAAUCACAAUGAAAAGGGAAUGUUUCGAAGCACAAGCGUCACCAGAUAAACAAAACGAUGAGGUCACGCACAACAUAUGUGAAGACUGGGGUUAAUUGCGUUUGCGGUAAGAGUUGAUACUGCCAUAUGGAUGUCCCUUGGCUUCCUCGAGAUCCACAAGUUCUUUCAAAGAUGGUACAUCUACAUGCCUUAUUGUCUUCCACUGUAAUUGGUCCAGGCUUGCUCUUAAUUCACUCGGACUUUCCUGGCAAGGUGGUACCUGCAGAUGUAGUCAUAUUUAGUUCGAGCAUAGUUUUCCUUAGCUCAGCUGAGAGAAGGGCAAGUUGUAGCAUAUAUACUACUCAGCUUAUAUGUUGUAAAAUAGUUGCAAGCAAGUCAUUGUUCAUUAUAUCAAUACAUCAGGUUUGCACAACACUCA